CUCAGAGGUCACAGAUAUGACUUUCUUUGCUGAGGAUGUUCACCUUUUGGCUAGUGUUGGGAUAGAUGGACGGGUUUACGCAUGGAAGAUUUCUGAAGGCCCAAUAAGCCUCAAAUUACAGGAAAUGCUAUUGUUGCGAUUCAAAUUAUAGGACAGGAGGGAGCUUCUCAUCCACGAGUUUGUUGGCAUUGCCACAAGUAAUAACACAUUUAAUUCUGUCAUUCUUGAUACAAGACAGUCUAAACAUUAUGUUUUCUUAUUAGUUAUAAAAGAAAUUGUGGUCUUUAGUCUCAA